AUACGAGGGGAGCUAGCGUUAUUCGGAAUUACUGGGCGUAAAGCGCGCGUAGGCGGUUUUUUAAGUCAGGGGUGAAAGCCCGGAGCUCAACUCCGGAAUAGCCUUUGAAACUGGAGAACUUGAAUCUUGGAGAGGUCAGUGGAAUUCCGAGUGUAGAGGUGAAAUUCGUAGAUAUUCGGAAGAACACCAGUGGCGAAGGCGACUGACUGGACAAGUAUUGACGCUGAGGUGCGAAAGCGUGGGGAGC
rnacentral:rRNA from 1 species